AGUGCUGUGGAACUAAUUAUGUGAUGCAAAUUUCUGCUCAAAGAGAAGCUAUGGUUACAGGUGCACGAUGUCAUCAUUGAGCAUAUUGCCACGGACUGUGUUAUUAACGGCAACAUUCCUUAUUUGAAAUUAUUACUGAACGAGUUCGAGGAUGUCAAACAAAUCUCCGACUGGUUCAUCGGGGGCGGAUUUUGAGCGACUUCAUCGAGCUGAAUGAGGAGUUUGACCUGAUCCGGGACGCGAUCGACGACGAGACCGAGGCACUCAAGCCUGUCCGAUAUGUGCUCUGUGGUCAAAAUGUUCCCAUGCUCGACGCUAAAGCAUCGGUUCUGUCAGAGUCAGAAUGAAAUUCCAGCUUAUCUGAUUCGGUUAUUCUUUGCUCCGGAUCCGCGUAUUGAUAGCUGUGAUGCGAAUUGGGCUCGAGAAGCUGCCCCUGCCCCAGGAGUACGUGCUCGAGGGAUUGCGGCAUAUGUUGAGCGCGUUCUUGGACGAUGAUCAGCG